rnacentral:misc_RNA from 1 species
AAUUCUCAACCUUCCUAGCUUUGUAGUAAAAGCUGGUUAGGCUUGGAUUUGGAGGUUGCUGGUUUCUUUGAGAAAUCAGCUCUUCUUAAAUGCUUUAGCAGAAUCUUUGCUGAUUAUCUUUGGUAUGAUAAUUAUCUAUACCACAGAGAUUCAGUAUUCUUUAUUGGAAGAGCUCUGCUUAAAAUCGUCUAAUCAGACAAUUUUGAUA